rnacentral:rRNA from 1 species
AACGAACGCUGGCGGCAUGCCUAACACAUGCAAGUCGAACGAGACCUUCGGGUCUAGUGGCGCACGGGUGCGUCACGCGUGGGAACCUGCCUUUAGGUUCGGAAUAACUCAGAGAAAUUUGAGCUAAAACCGGAUGAUGUCUUCGGACCAAAGAUUUAGCGCCUUUAGAUGGGCCCGCGUUGGAUUAGCUAGUUGGUGGGGUAAAGGCCUACCAAGGCGACGAUCCAUAGCUGGUCUGAGAGGAUGAUCAGCCACACUGGGACUGAGACACGGCCCAGACUCCUACGGGAGGCAGCAGUGGGGAAUAUUAGGCAAUGGGCGAAAGCCUGAUCCAGCAAUGCCGCGUGAGUUAUGAAGGCCUUAGGGUUGUAAAGCUCUUUUAACCGAGAUGAUAAUGACAGUAGCGGGAGAAUAAGCUCCGGCUAACUCCGUG